rnacentral:rRNA from 2 species
AAUGAACGCUGGCGGCAGGCCUAACACAUGCAAGUCGAACGGAGUUAUAUUGUAGCUUGCUAUGGUAUAACUUANUGGCAGACGGGUGAGUAAUGUAUAGGAAUCUACCUAGUAGUACGGAAUAAUUGUUGGAAACGGCAACUAAUACCGUAUACGCCCUACGGGGGAAAAAUUUAUUGCUAUUAGAUGAGCCUAUAUUAGAUUAGUUAGUUGGUGAGGUAAAGGCUUACCAAGACAAUGAUCUAUAGCUGAUCUGAGAGGAUGAUCAGCCACACUGGAACUGAGAUACGGUCCAGACUCCUACGGGAGGCAGCAGUGGGGAAUAUUGGACAAUGGGCGAAAGCCUGAUCCAGCCAUGCCGCAUGAGUGAAGAAGGCCUUCGGGUUGUAAAGCUCUUUUAGUGAGGAAGAUAAUGACGGUACUCACAGAAGAAGUCCUGGCUAACUCCGUGCCAGCAGCCGCGGUAAUACGGAGAGGGCUAGCGUUAUUCGGAAUCAUUGGGCGUAAAGGGCGCGUAGGCGGGUUAGUAAGUUAAAAGUGAAAUCCCAAGGCUC